AUAACUUGGAUCACCUUUUAGUUUGUUUAUGUGAAAUUAUAAGAAUAAGUGCAUGUGAUUACAGUUUACUGAAAUUAACAUAGUUUACUUGUAAUUUUAUAGUAGUGUUAAAUUGGUUUGAGUUAUGGAUAUGUUCACAAGUGAAAUAAUGAUAAUAUUUUGUGUAUGAUUUAUGUUCACUAAUCAAGUAUAUAUUGUAACAGCGGUAUCAUGCUCUGAAGGUUUUUUGAAGGAACCGUUCAAUAUUAAGAUUCUCCAUAGAGAAAAUUUGUGAAUAUUAGUGAUGGAAAUGAUUGGUGCAAAGCAAAUGGAAACUCCCCUCAGCAAAGAAAAUGUCUGAAUGGAAAAGAAGUGUUUUUUCUUCUAUUGUAACACAUAUUUGAAUGACUUAAAUCACAAUGUUGUAGAGGCAUAUAUAAAUGGUGCUAUUGACAUAUUACUUAAUUUUUUAUAUCAAAAUUUGUGAUUUUUUUAU